ACGAGGUGGCCGGCGUCGUCGGCGCCGCCGCCGGCGAGGUGCGGGAGGAGGACCUGCAGGCGAUGCCGUACCUGAAGGCCGUCGUGCUGGAGGCGCUCCGGCGCCACCCGCCGGGCCACUUCCUGCUCCCGCACGCCGUGCACGAGGACACCACGCUGGACGGGUACCGCGUGCCCGCCGGCGCGCCGGUCAACUUCGCCGUGGGCGACAUCGGGCUCGACGGGGAGGUCUGGGACGCGCCGUCAGAGUUCCGGCCGGAGCGGUUCCUCCCCGGCGGGGAAGGGGAGGACGUCGACCUGACGGGCAGCAAGGAGAUCAAGAUGAUGCCGUUCGGCGCCGGCCGGAGGGUCUGCCCCGGCAUGGCGCUCGCGCUGAUGCACCUCGAGUACUUCGUGGCCAACCUCGUGAGGGAGUUCGAGUGGCGCGAGGCUGACGGCG
rnacentral:lncRNA from 1 species